CUUCCGCUGCCUUGCAGCCCUGCGAAAUGGCGGCGUCCAGGGGGCGGCGGCUGCUGUGGCAGGGCCGGUGCUGGUUCUCGCAGACGGAGUCCGCUGCCCCCCCGCAGCCUGCCGACUCGCUCUACCCGCCCGUAGUGGCUUCCGCGACGGCGAAGAGCAAAGCGGCCAAGCGGCGGCGCCUGGAGCAUUUCCACCAGCGGGUGCACGCGGCGGCCUCGGUCGAGGAGAAGCUGCGGCUCUACGGGCAGCGGCAGCGGCCCAAGUACAUGGUUUACCCGCAGACCUUCGCCCUCAACGCCGACCGCUGGUACCGGAGCUUCACCAAGACCGUCUUCUUGCCGGGGCUCCCCCCGAGAGCGGCGCCGGCAGCCGUGAAGGCCCCGGGAGUGAUGGUGCCGGAGGCCGCGAAGGCCCCGGAGCCGGCGGCGGCAGUGGCACCCGAGGCCGCCGAAGCCCCGGAGCCGGGAACGGCGGCACCGGCCGCUGCGAAAACCCCAGAGCCCGCGGCGGCAGAGGCGCCAUGCCUGGAUAUGGGCGAGCUGCGGUCGCUCGCCUGCGAUGCCCUCCUGCAGGAGAGCUUCUACCAGAACAAGAAGCGGCCGUUCCUCUACCGCGAUCAGGAUCACACGCCCGGCCCGUUCCUUACGCAGCUCGUCUCCACUCUCGCCGCGUCCCUGUGCGGUCGCAACCCACUGCUGGCUGCCUCCUCCCUUGAUCUAAAACCUGAAGUUCACUAUUACUGGCAUCAUGGUGAGGAAGUUGUUGUUCAUGGACAUCGAAAGGGUAGAGUUGAUCCUGUGCGAUUUCAGAUAGAUGAUAAGCCGCACCUCCAGAUCCGUGUACCAAAGCAACUUCCAGAGAUUGUACCGCUGGAAUCAGAUCUUGGAGAUGUUCCAGUUAUUGAUCACAAACCAUCCAAACUGCCGUUGUUCAAAAAGCAGUACGAAAACAAGGUAUUUAUAGGAUCAAAGGUAGCAGAUCCAUGCUGUUAUGGACACACCCAGUUUCAUCUUAUUCCUGAUAAGCUAAACCGGAAGAGGUUUAUAAGAGCAAAUCUUGAGGAUCAGAUUGAAGUUGUUUAUCGAGCUAAUGGUAUUGCAAGUCUCUUUGCCUGGACAGCAGCACAAGCAAUGUAUCAAGAUUAUGAGACUGCGAGUGGUGACUUGGAAUGGAACUGCCUAAGCAGCCUUUCCCAAAAUGAAAGCAGAAAGGAGGAGAUGGGAAGACUCUGAAACUUUCUUAUAUCUAUAUAGGGUCAUGUUGCACCAAGUUGUUGGGGUAGGUUUUCUGUCAUUGGAGAAGACACCUGCUCCUUUUGUCUCAGAAGCAGAUGGUUUCCUUGGUCUGGAGAUCCACUGAGGGGGGGUUUCCUGAGGUAAGAGCAAUUCUUCAAGUCAGCUGUUGGUGAGAGAGUCUACUGACAACUUGGCCCACUGGGACUGUAGAGACCACACAUACUGGCAGUGUAUCUCUGAUGGAAGCAAUGAAAGCGGCUUUCCGGUGCAUCUUAGGCUAAAAUGCACCAUCCUCAACCAGUAGUAUAACUGAAGUGCACCAGAGUAAGAGACCUGGGAAGUUUGCUUUGAGUUAGCACGAAGUCUCAUCUGGUACAAAAGAAUAAUGUCCUGUGGUUCAAAACUGAGUCUAAUAAACAUAGCCCCUAGAAAGCUUGCAGAAGAGGUUACACAAGAACUACUUUUUCAUAGAGGGAGAAAUUUACCAAGUGGGUAGAAGUGUCAAAGUAAAUGGACUUAUCAAAUGGGUAGAAGUGUCCAAGUAAAUGGAACAUCAACAAGGUGAAAAGAAGACCACGAAGUAAAACCAGACUGGUUGCAAACAGUAUGUGAUUCUGCAUACAUUAUAUUCUAGUAGUGUACCAGAACCCCACUGAGACAAGACCUUCAAGAAAUACAAGUUAAGGAUCCUAAAAAAACUAUAAAUUGGAAAUGCACUUAACAUCUGAUAGGAAGUCCUUUGUGUCUGGGACCAGGCAACAGCAGAUGUGAGACAGGGUUUGGGGUUGUGGGUUUUUUUUCCACAUUCUCUGUCUUCCAACAGAGUGUCAUUCCCACCAAAAGCAAGAAAGCCCAUUACCAUAAAGCAAAACAUAAUAAAUCCCUAAGACAGAGCAGGUAAUUGAUAAGGGAGGAGUGUUCUGUGAUUCCAUUACCAAAGCUUACUUUGGUUUUCCUGGAUAAUACUGAAUAGCGGUAGAAUGGAAUCCCACAAUGGGUCUGAGACUGGUAGGGGAAAACAGGUAGCUGCUCCCCCUCUUUUGUUAUUGUGAAAGGAUGGCAAAUGCAGGUAGCACUGCAUUUGACAAUCUAAUACAGGCUGAGGUUAUAUCAAGAACAUGACAGAAAUGAGAAGUUGCUCAGCCAGAUCUA